ACACUCGUCGACAGCGGUGAGACGCAAUAACGGUCAAGCUGACAAAAUACAGACAUCCAAUCACAGCGCAAAUAAACGAUGAUGAAAUAUUAACAUGCACACUCACAACUAUUACAUAUAAAAGCUAAACAUUAUAAGAACCAAAUAAGUCUUCGAAGUGCGCACUAGAAUUAUUUAAAGUGAUAGUUGGUACCCAGACCUUUGGCUCCAGGUCUGCGGGUAUGCUAAAAUCACAUUUUAUAUAGUUAUAUACAUAUUACCAUUUCAAUUUGGGCACACCCUUUCAGAACAAACCUUUUCGGUCCAAGCGCCCUGCAGAACUGGAGGUGUCGAUUUGCCAUGGCUUACCUCGCCGAUCACUACUAAAGUGACCCUAUAGUAAACCAACGUCGAACCACCGAGUCGACUCGAGUUUGCGAUUGGCCCUGGCUGUGUGUCCUAGAUGAUGAAAUUAUUGCAAGCAUUUGAGUUGAGAAGUGCAAAGCGGAUCCGCGAUCAAUUAUUAGAUAAUAAAAGAAUAUCAAGCAGAUAGUAUAACGCAUAGUUCUACAGUGGAAAGCGACAAUGUGCCUAAAGAAGAGGAAGUGGAAAUUAUGACAGAAAAUCUACGUUAUGGAAAUAAUGACAGGGGAAUGCGGCCAAAAAAAAAAGAAGACAA